GCCGGGGUGGCGGAAAUGGCAGACGCGCUAGGUUCAGGACUUAGUGGGAGCAAUCCCGUGCGGGUUCAACUCCCGCCCCCGGCA
rnacentral:tRNA from 1 species